rnacentral:lncRNA from 1 species
GCAGGACGGACACGUGCUUGUGGUGGGCGGUCACAUCGCCAAGUCGGGUUACGGUGACGGCUUGAAGGCGGUCCGUGUGUUCUCGCGCAAGACCCUGUCCUUCCACCGCAUUGCCAACAUGACCUACCCCCGCUGGUACCCCACCGCUACGCUGCUGCCUUCUGGUAUGGUCACGAUCAUGGGCGGCACCGUCCUGCCGGGAGCGGGCACAGGCAAGAAUCCCAUCUACGAAAUCUGGGAUCCCGCCAACCCCACGCAGCUCAUGCGUCGCAACCAGUCUGCAGCCAUGGUCGCCCGCACCAAUGACAUCUACUACCCCAACACCUACGUGCUUCCCACCGGUCAUCUCUUCAUGUUUUGCAAUCGUUACGGCGAGAUUAUGGAUCCCAUGGCCGCUAAGGUCAUCACUGCUGUCCCAAACUGGAUGGCAGUUGCCAAGGGCGUCUUCACGGAGUACCCCUUCACCGGCACAAGCGCAAUGCUCACGCUCAAGCCUGAGAACAACUACACGCCUGAGGUUGUUUACUUUGGUGGCCAGUUCAGUUACGGCUGGAUCAACACGACCGCCAGCCGCGCUGCUCUGCGAAUUAAGAUCCACUGGGACGAGGCCGCCGGCAACUACACGUUCGGAGGUGAGUCCUAAGAUGGACAAGGCGCGCAUCGCGUUGCUUCAUAUGGGUUGUCUGGGCGCGGUGUGGGCCUGCAGGGUUAGGCAGUGUGCAGUCAUGCAUGCAGCAUGGUCUGUUGCACACAUUCUAACACGCCAUGCGGUUUCUCCCUACCUUGGUCCCUAUCUCUUUGCAGAGGGCUGGACUGCCGAGCGUAUGCCGCUCCCGCGUGUGAUGGGUGAUGCGCUCGUCCUGCCCAACGGCAAGGUCAUUGUGCUGAACGGCGCCGUCAAGGGCCUCGCGGGAGACAACGCCGCGGGAGGUGCCGCCAAGGCCAACGAGCCCGCGCUGUGGCCCGUGCUGUACGACCCGGAUGCCCCGCUGGGCUCGCGCAUGACUGUCCUGGCGCGCUCCAACAUCCCGCGUAUGUACCACUCCACCGUCUCCAUCACCACGGAUGGCUCCCUGCUGGUGGCCGGCUGCGACCGAUGCGACAAGUACUGGUGGACCUCUGCAAACAUCUCCAAGUCCCCCACGUCUUUUGCCGAGUACCGCAUUGAGGUGUUCCGCCCUCCCAUGUGGUUCAACGUCACCGCCAAGCCCAACAUCGUGUCCAUUGAUGAGGACACCUGGGACGACGAGGACGGUGUCAACGUGAUGCAGUACGGCGCGCCCUUUGCGCUCACCUACUCCAUGUUCUACGAGAGCGACAAGGUCACGAGCGCUGUGCUGGUGGCGCCCAGCUCCACCACCCACUCCACCAACAUGAACCAGCGCGUGGUGGGUCUUGACUCGGGGCCCCUGUCCUGAAGGCUCGGGAUUUGUUUUGUAGUGCCUUCCCAGCCCUUGAUCUUGCUUAACAGAUGCUCUCUGCAAGCAACACGCGUCGGUGUAGUGGAGCUAUGGAUUACUACUAUGCAUGCUCACUCGCGAACCCCUCCCACCUUGCCCCUCUGAGUGCAGGUUGGCUUGCAAGUCCUGCAACACGACGCCGCCACCCGCCGCCUGAUCGUGUCCGGCCCGCCCCAUAUUAACAUUGCUCCGCCCGGCUGGUACAUGCUGUUCCUGCUGAACGGGGACGUGUACGGCCAGAGUGAGUGGGUACGGCUGCCCGGGGACGCGCCGCGCCUGGACUCCUUCCUUGAGGCCUUCGAUGUAAAAGGCAAAACGAACCACCGCCUAUAAGUUUGUUUGAGCUAAUGUGUUCACUGAUGCCGGUUCAUGCGUGGCGUGUGUUGCUAGGGCUACAGUCAACAGCGCGUGCUAGACUUGCAUGUGUGUGUCCACACCUACUUGCUGUGACAUUACACGCACAUGAGCUUUGAGCGCAUCACAGCAGGCAACAAGCCACGGCACGCACACCUGCAUACGGAUUGCAAACAUUCAUUGGGAAUGGGACUGCGCUACUACUCAACUGGCGCAAGCACAGCUUGAUUCAUUCAUGACAAAGAGUUGGGGGCGGGCUGCCUACACUAUGGUUAGUGGCACCAUCGGAUUGGACCGGUGUGGCCUGCUGCGCAAUUGCGCUGCUGCCUUUCACUAUUGCAAAGGAUGCAUCCCUGGCUAGGCAUCAUGCAUGGAUGGCUGCUGCUUGUGCGCCCUCAUAGCAUGUAUUAGAUGAUUCUUAUAGCGUCACCUUCUGAAUUGAUUAUGUCUCCCUGACCGCCGACGUUUCUGCGCACUAGCUGUACAGCGGCGGUGAGGGUGGAUGGUGGAGGGGGACUGGUGUGCUGUGGCGCAGUGAUGCGUCGUGUAGGGGCGCGGCCAUCAUGGCGAGAGCAAUGGACGCGGGACGCCCCGCGCGCUGUGUGGGCGGGAUGCCUCCCACGACAGCCCAUGAACGAGGGUGCUGCAUACAGUUCAUUGCAGUGACUCCGCAACUUUGUUGGUAGUGUGCGUCCGUUUCCACCAUCGCCUUACUUUAAGCAGAACUAAGCAGACAGUAUAAGGGAAACUUCCAUAAAGGCUACCAGUUAGCCCGGUUAGAGUGUAGCGUACGGUAGCAAAGCGGAGCGGAGCGAGGUCAGGGGCUCAGCAUGGAGGCCGUACACGAUGGCCGAAGCGACUAGUGUUCUCUGCUCUCUGCAGUUCUCUCGGCAUUCUGCCUUCCCUGCAUUUGCAGCUCACACCGCUUCGUUGAGCGGUAUCGCCCUCAGGGGGAGGGGGUACAAAGCUCAUCAGAAUCUUACUCCAUGCUCAAAAUCAUAGAGCUUUAGGAGAGCACUACGCACGUACUUUAAUUUUGUCAGGGAUGGUACCGAAGUUCUGCGCCGGGGGUCGGUCGUCGGCCCGAGGGGUCCGCCGGGUUUCAGGAGCCCAUCCUGGCGGAUUUCAAGCAGAACUAGGGCCAAACGCAGCACCAUGUGGCUCAAGUAUGCAUGUUGUGCCGUAGUAAGCACAAAACAAAGCGUGGAAGGGCCAAGUUGCGCGUCCUGGCGUGGACAUGACGGCGCAUGUCCCCACAUGUCCCCACAUUCGACAUAUGCGGACUGACAUGGCGGGGCUCUCAAGCGCUGGUGCGAAUGAUUUCAUGUUUAGAAGGCUGCUGAUACACGCUGUCCAUACUUCAUAUGGCAGAGAGUUGAACGGGGGUUGGGCUGGGUCGAGGGGACUUCCAGGAUCCCGUGUGACCGAAGUCUCAGAACAGGACCGCCGAUGGCACAGCAUGAUAGCGCUCGAGUCGAUUGGCACCACUUUGGUUAUCAAUGGAGGGGUUGUAAACCUAAACGACACGGUAUUGUCACUGGGGGGGGGGGUCAGUGUCCCCUCAAGGGGGGUCCCGGGGGAUUUCAGGGCAUGGGGUCGGGCACUUUGUUUCCUUAACAGGCCUUAACACCCCCCCCCCCCCCGCACCGCACCGCACGCCCCAGUCAGUUCGUCAGCGACCAGCAACAGAAGCAAAUGGCCCACAGUAGCCCAACACUCGCCAACAGAACGCGGACGCCCAGCCGGCUCAGCAGCCCAAGCAGCAGCUGCCCAUUGGCACUCCCAUUCGCGUGCUUGUGAGGCGCAUUGUGGGCCGCCCGGGCGCGCGGGCAGUGUAAGUGCCCUUGGCUGUUUGCCCCAGGCCGGUCCGCGCUGUCAGCAUUCUGUUCCGUCAGCUCAGCUCAGCCCAGCUCAGCCCGGCAUGGUCUCAUGGGCAUGGUCUCAUGGGCAUGGGUAUGGCGCCUGAGGGGGCGCCUGAGGGGAUGACCGACCGGUUUGCUGCUCGCCCGCAGGGGUUCCCCUGCUCGCCCGCGCGCGUGCGCCGGUGCUGACACACAGUCACCGCCGACUUACUUGCAUGUUGCACUACUCGUUCGGGGACAGAUCCAUGAGUUUUGCGCUCAUUAAAUGGGAAUUAUGCAUUACGUAGAGGAUGCUGAGCAACUGGCCGCGUGAGACACGGUGCGGGCGGUUGUUGGCGGGCCAGUCUGUCUUCUCGCGCGUACAUUAUGUCAAACAGCCCAGUAGUGGUUUCCCCCGCGUCCAGUUGGGCUUUGGUAGCAUAACUUCGCAUUAGCCACAAGGCUAUCACCUUGCUGAAUAGCUAGGAGCCACGAGCAAAGAGGUGACCCACACGCCUCGUCAAAGUAGGGAGUCGAGAGUCACUCGCGCACACGUUCUUGGCACGCGCGCCAUUGGGCGAAGUUUAUUCAUAGACCAGGAUACGUGAGCAAUCGGCGAGGAGUUUGGCGCGACGAAAGAAUUUCACAACUGGCUCGGGUAAGCCCAAGCCUGCUUUACUGUCUGAGACAUUUUGUGAGUGGUAUGCGACCGAAAAAUGCAUGUGUGCACUGUGUUCGCGGCUUCGGCGAGCGUCCCGUCAGUGAGCUGGCCACAUUUCGCGGAUGGUGUGGCGAUGCCUUUUGCCGGGACCUGUUACUCCAGCUCAUAAUACUGUACUGUUGGGUAGCAUAUACAUGGGAAACACACGACAGCGUGUGUGCACCCCUAUUAGGGUCAGCGCACGUAACUCCAUUCGCCACGUUCGCCAGCAGCCAUCCCCGCACCACCUUGCAACGGGCGCGGCACCGCACGAUUCUCGGUCCGUGUAAGAAACCCCGUUCCAUGUCCCUUCUUCCUGUCCUCGUGCCCCAGGUACCUUGCUUUCAGCGCGCUGCACGCAACCUUGUCUCCGGCGGCCUCUGGCCACGCAACCCUGCCCGCCGCCUGCCCGCCGCCAUGGUGCUCAGCCAAUCCUUGUGUGGCCGCUGCCGGACCACGCCCUUCAAUGCGCGCCCAGCCCUGGCUCUCCUAGCCAGUGUGGCCGUGCUGUGCGCGGCACUGCUGCUGGUCGGGACCCCGGCCCCUGCCUGUGCGUCGCGCGAUCUGGCGGACGUUGUCCGGAACUAUGCGGUCGCCCACGGCUUCGAUCUGGGCUCAACCACGGAGCAUCCCGAGGGCGCAUCAACAGCGGGCGAGGAAGUGACCAUUGGGGCCAUCGGCCGCAGCCUGCUGGCAAAGAAAUCGCCACCGCCCCUGCGGUCGUCGCCACCACCGAAGCCCCCUCCCUCCCCCAAGCGCUCCCCCCCUCCCCGCCCGCCGCCCCCGAGCCCGCCGUCACCCCGCCCGCCUCCUCCUCCGCUCGCCGCGGAUAGCACUGACGGUAGGUUGGGGCGCAUGUGCUCGCUACAGUUAAUGUCAAACGUGUUAGCAUGUCGAUUCCAGUGCGGCAUGGGCAUGCCAAAUGUUCCGACGCAGCUCAAGUUCGCAGUUUGUACAUCACGUGUAUAUGUGUUGCCCUGGCUGACGUGCAGAAGGCCCUGGCCCCGCUGACGGCAAUCCUAACACUCCGGGGGAUGGCAAAGUCGGACUGCCGUCUGUGCCCAAUAACGACCCGGACAACUACGGCCAGUGGCUGCUGAAGGCGGUGGGGAAUGUGGUAGCCGUGCACAUGUGCAUGGUGCCCGGCACUGAGAAGUUCUUUUUCAUGGAGCGCCCCUCCGGCCGACACCCAGACGGAAAGAACAACAUCGUCGGUUACUACGAUUACCAGACCAACAAGUUCGUCAACGUCAAUUACACGGACUCCGUUUUCUGUGCCGGGCACACCGUGACGCAGGACGGACACGUGCUUGUGGUGGGCGGUCACAUCGCCAAGUCGGGUUACGGUGACGGCUUGAAGGCGGUCCGUGUGUUCUCGCGCAAGACCCUGUCCUUCCACCGCAUCGCCAACAUGACCUACCCCCGCUGGUACCCCACCGCGACGCUGCUGCCUUCUGGUAUGGUCACGAUCAUGGGCGGCACCGUCCUGCCGGGAGCGGGCACAGGCAAGAAUCCCAUCUACGAAAUCUGGGAUCCCGCCAACCCCACGCAGCUCAUGCGUCGCAACCAGUCUGCAGCCAUGGUCGCCCGCACCAAUGACAUCUACUACCCCAACACCUACGUGCUCCCCACCGGCCAUCUUCUUUUGUCUUGCAACCGUUACGGCGAGAUUAUGGAUCCCAUGGCCGCUAAGGUCAUCACUGCGAUGCCUAGUUGGAUGGCAGUUGCCAAAGGCGUUUUCACGGAGUACCCCUUCACCGGCACAAGCGCAAUGCUCUCGCUCAAGCCUGAGAACAACUACACGCCUGAGGUUGUUUACUUUGGUGGCCAGUUCAGUUACGGCUGGAUCAACACGACCGCAUCUCGACUGGCCCUCCGUCUGAAGGUGGAAUGGGACGAGGCAGCCGGCAACUACACGUUCGGAGGUGAGGCCGGACCAUUGUGCACGGGAUGAUGUGGCCGCGAGGUAGUGAUAGCAGUAUCUAGAGCAUUCCGCAUCUGGCUUUUCCGCUGGGGAGGGUGUACUGGCGGUGUGCAGGCGAAGUGGUGGUCAGCAAUGAUGCUCAUGUUGUGCACCCUGACGCAUCCGUCAAACAUGCAUGCUGUCCGAACCUUGCGCCAUGCUUGCAGAGGGCUGGGUAGCGGAAAAGAUGCCGCUCCCGCGUGUGAUGGGUGACGCGCUCGUCCUGCCCAACGGCAAGGUCAUUGUGCUGAACGGCGCCGUCAAGGGCCUCGCGGGAGACAACGCCGCGGGAGGUGCCGCCAAGGCCAACGAGCCCGCGCUGUGGCCCGUUCUGUACGACCCGGAUGCCCCGCUGGGCUCGCGCAUGACUGUCCUGGCGCGCUCCAACAUCCCGCGUAUGUACCACUCCACCGUCUCCAUCACCACGGAUGGCUCCCUGCUGGUGGCCGGCUGCGACCGAUGCGACAAGUACUGGUGGACCUCUGCAAGCAUCUCCAAGUCCCCCACGUCUUUUGCUGAGUACCGCAUUGAGGUGUUCCGCCCUCCCAUGUGGUUCAACGUCACUGCCAAGCCCAACAUCGUGUCCAUUGAUGAGGACACCUGGGACGACGAGGACGGUGUCAACGUGAUGCAGUACGGCGCGCCCUUUGCGCUCACCUACUCCAUGUUCUACGAGAGCGACAAGGUCACGAGCGCUGUGCUGGUGGCGCCCAGCUCUACCACCCACUCCACCAACAUGAACCAGCGCGUGGUGGGUCCUGACUCGGGGCCCCUGUCCUGAAGGCUCUGGAUUUGUUUUGUAGUGCCUUCCCAGCCCUUGAUCUUGCUUAACAGAUGCUCUCUGCAAGCAACACGCGUCUGUGAAGUAGGAGCUAUUGAUUACCCUGCAUGCUCACUCGCGAACCCCUCCCACCUUGCCCCUCUGAGUGCAGGUUGGCUUGCAAGUCCUGCAACACGACGCCGCCACCCGCCGCCUGAUCGUGUCCGGCCCGCCCCAUAUUAACAUUGCUCCGCCCGGCUGGUACAUGCUGUUCCUGCUGAACGGGGACGUGUACGGCCAGAGUGAGUGGGUGCGGCUGCCCGGGGACGCGCCGCGCCUGGACCCCUUCAUGCAGCAGUACGCCAGCGGCAGCACGAAGAAAUGAUACGGCCGAUUGAUGCUCUUACAGAGCUUAUCAGAGUGCAACAGGCAGACCCGAUCAUGUUUCCUGCUUUCAGUGAGAUUUGCAUGGCCGCCAAGGGGCACAUGGUGUGUGCUCCACCAGUAGGGCUGCACGUGGCAUGCCUGUGCGCGAGUGUGUCUGGUGUGUCCAUGAAUGGACAGGGCUGAUGGACAAUUGGCCAUUCAUGUCAAACGAUUUAAGCAAGCCCUGUUGAUUGUACAGGUGUUUUCGGCAUGCAUAGAGCAUAUUGAUAUUCUUAUGUAGGAAUUAAUAUGGGCCGUGCGCGUGCCAACGUGCCGGGCCGCAUACAUGCAGCUGGCAACAAACUUGCAUGCGAACACAGCAGCUAUGAACUGAAUGACUUGGGUGCGGGUCUGCGGAGAUGCCGGUCUGCGGUUAUGGAGUUAUGCUGGCCUGCGGAGAUGCGGGCGUUUGGAAAUGCACGUGCUGGCGGGUUGCUUGUGGCCCAUGCCAGGGUUCCAUGGCUUGGCAUGAGUGGUCACAAGGUCACGACGGAAGGCUUCUGUCACUAGCACUACUGUAUCCAUGCACGCACGCGAGGCACCUUGCUUAUGAGAUUCGUGCGGCCUAAUGCGUUUCCAGUGCUUUUGCGCUUGAGUGACCCCGGACAACACGACAUGUGUAACGUGGCACGCUUACAUAUUGAGGAAUGAUGCUGUGAGGCCCUCAUAACACCGUCCCGGCUGCACGGUGGUGUGGUCCAGUGUCCGUACCCAUGUGUGCCCGGGAAUCCCCCCUAGCAACGGGUAUGCUCCCGACUGUUCCCGUGCGUCAGGGUUUGCAGGUAGGCCACAGCCACUGGCGAGGAGGGCCCUAAUCGUGUUCUCGUCCACAGCAUCCAGGCCCAGGGGCCAUCAACUGCCUAUGUCUUGGCGUUUUGGGGGGCUGCGCCCCAGACCCCUAAAACCCGCCCCCACCCAUUUGGCUUAGUUUGGGCUGGUAUCUACAACCCCCACAGCCCGGUAAGGGGUAUUCGGGAACUAACAGUAUUCAGCCCCAUGUGGCAUGUGGCGACAACGCGCUGCCCCUUACCCCUUACCCUGUCCCAUCGCACCCAUGUGGCGAGAAAGCACCCCCGGAAUGCAAGACCCAAUCUUCCUCGCUGAAGGGCCUGCACUGGGCCCCAUUCCUUGCCGCUCCUCGAAGGUGCCGUGCGUCUUCCAUUCCGUGGUACCAUUGGCCAGCUGUGCAGGUGCGACAAGAACGAUCCCCCCAAACACUCCACACUACUACUGUAGUGCAGGUUCGCUGGCUUGCUCGUGAGCUGCGUUUGCCCACAGCCCAAGGGCAGAGGCACAGAGGCAGUGAUCGACCUGAGCCUGCUGCAGCCCUGUGCCGAAGCUGUCACCAGCCAAAGCCCAGGUAGGCAGGUAGGCACGUUCGUCACAAACUCGACGCCUGCAAGAGCCUGUCCCAAGCCGCCAGGCUGCCCCAGUGCCCCGGCAACUGGGGCCCGUAGCUACCCACGGCAGGGAAACCCCACGGCCGUGCCAUGUGCUGCCAACCUCCGAAAUCGGCAAGAAGGUGGGCGCUGUCGGGGCACUGGCUACCAAGCUUCAUCGAGUAGGUGUGCUGGAAGUUGUCGGGCCUGGUCGGGCUGCUCGAGGAGGAACUUAGCCCCUGCGCCCAGCUAUCAGUGCCGACCGAUCGUGGCCUGCAUCGACGUUUGUUAUAGUCGAUGUCAGGGGGGGGGCUCUCCUGAUCGAUAUGCAAAUUAGCGGGGGGGUGCCCCCCCCUGCCACCCUCCCCCCGCAGGCGUGUCGUGCAGCGCGCAGAAGGGGGGGCGGUGCAGGAAACCCUCCCCCCGCCAGCGGCGAGCGGCGAGGAGCGUAGAGCAGGUUCGCCGAGCUGGGUCGCCGAGCGUGCUAAAAGUUCACAGCACAUCGCAACUGUGCAUGACUUUGCUCACCGAUUAUAUCAACGGAUACAGCUGCUCGCACAUAUCGUGUAAGCUUUCAUCCCAGCCGAUCGGAACGAGCGCGCUCUGAAAUUCUUGCAAGUGCGCGCUCUGGCAGGCCAGACUGUGUCGCUAAUACAUCGCACUGUAAGUUAUAGCUGCGCGCAUUCUCGAGGAAGCCAAGAAAGCGCAGUUGCCGGCUUCGUUCAUACGCUGCACUCGCUCUCGCGGCCUGGAAAGAACAUCACGUAUACAGGAAGCUGCGAGUAAUCGAUCAUGCUAGUUGGUUCGAGCUGAAUCGCGCUGUAGCGCAAACGCACCGGGUGCGUCACACUUUCCAUGGCAUAUGUACGGAGGGAUGCAGUACCGCUCGCCCAGCCAAAUUCCGGGGGUGUCCCCCGGGCACACAUCCUGAGCCGCUAGAUAUUCUUACCUGGCCCGGCGACAUUCCCAGCCGGCCCGGCCGCAUCCCCAACCUGGCCCGGCCGAAUCCCGACAUGCCCCGGCCGAAUCCCCUACCUGGCCCGGCCAAAUCCCUACCUCCCCCAGCGAAAUCCCCAGCUGCCCCAGCCAAAUCCCCCACCUGGCGCGGCCAAAUCUGCAUUUGCCUACGUGAACUGCCCUACUUGGCUCGGCCAUAGUGCUUUACCUGUCCACGCUGUAUGCUCCCGGGCCCAGGAGCAUCUCAGGCGCCGUCACCCGCCCCAUCACCCCUUUCCCUAGGCCUACACCCCUAGUCCUACCACCUUCACCACCUACAGACACAAGGCAGUCUCCAUUAUAUCAGGGCAGGUAUUACGGAGGGGCAUGAGCACGCAUGGUCCCGAUCAGCGAGCGAGCGAAUGAAGCAGGGAGGGCGGGGAACUUGAUGUGACUGCUCCCUAAGUUUAGUCGCAUUCCCACAGUAAACUUUUGUUAUGGCAGCAGGGUCAUGCGUGUUUCCGGGCACUGUUCAGGCGCUUGUCAGGAACUGGCUCGGCCCAAUAUCUCCGUCGCGGUAUUUUAGUGUGCCUUGAUGCUAAAAGGGGUACAGAUGCGGCUUUGUUAUCUAAAUCUACUUCACGCCAGCGCUUUGGUGCUAGGUGGGGUUAAGGAGCCAAUGGCUCCUGGCCGGCACCAACAGCGCUGGAGGUAGCUUAGCCAGCACUUGCGGCCCAGGCAGCAAACCAUGUACACUAUAUGCAUGUUCGCGGCUCCUCCUGUGCUAAAGCCUUAACGAAUCGAAAGGAUCGCUUGAAAGCCCCAACAUUUGGAAGGCCGCCGUAGGAGUGAUGGGGAUGAAACAGAUAUAUCUUUAUGCGUAUAUAUGUACUGAAAGCAUCAAGAGGCAGUCUAUGGUUAACGGGGAUGCGUGGGCUGGCAUGCCCAAGCUGCCACGCGCACUGCCCUGCGCCCUGCGCGCACAACCCCGCUACCACGCCCUUCCUAUCCCGCUUCCCCGGGUGCCAACAUCUGCAAUAUCCCGCUCCCGAGGAUGCCCCCAGGCGUCAAAUCCCGCUGUGUGGGGUGCCCCCCGGCGCCGAAUCCCGCUGCCUGCGGUGCCCCCCGGCGCCGAAUCCCGCUGUCUGCAGUGCCCCCCGGCGCCGAAUCCCGCUUCCGCGGGUGACCCCACCCGAGGUAUCCCGCUGUCCCCGCCAGGAAUCCCCCUUUGUACUGAAGACAGCGGGAUUUCGCCGGGCGAUAUCCUGUGCCCGGGGUCGUCGCGAAAUCCAGAGCGCCUGCAUCCCUCUGAUAUGUAGAUAGCUGGGCUAAACAUGCUCGCCCGCGGGGCGCGCGCUUAAAUUCAUUUCAUCGCCUACGAGCCAACAAGGCUUCUUUCCAUUUCGUAGAGUAUGCCACGGUCUCCCCACCAACACAAUUAUUGCGUAAUCCCCUUUAAACAACGUGGCCACUUGUCUGGACUGGCAAGGCCUAAGGAGCAAUGUUACAUUGGAGCUAUGACUCAACACAAUACUCAGGGACACUGGCGAGCCUUGUCGUCGGCGGGGGCAGCAGGGGCGGGCGCCUUUCCGGUACAUCCGCACGGUUUCGCCUGAUCGUCGCUCGCAGCGGCGGGCGCGAGCAAUUCAGCAAAAUCACAUCUCGGUAACUAAUGCUACGAGAUAUAAACUUAUGAAACCACUCCUCGCUCGGUUCCACAAUCACCGGCGACGCGUUUGAACCCCUUUUUGUUGCGCGCGCCAUCAGCAGUUACUACUUGCUACUGAGUUACAAGAGUCCUUCGUUUUCUAUUCUUACAGCGCGCACAGCACGGCGCACACCUCGGGUGCGUCGCCGUUGCAGCAGAUGGCGUGGGACGUGGUGCACUGUCGCGGUUUGGAAUUUUAUGCAUAAAUUUAUCUUGAUAAUGGCGCAUAUAUGGCGGAAACUAUCCCAGGCCAUAGCAGGUUUGGAACCAAGGCAGGUUGGGCCACGGCGGAACAUUUGAGGGGAUGGUUGGGCACUCGCCCUACCUCAACGCCCCGGAACUCUUCCGAAGUACCCCGUUUUCCUGACUACGCCCGUUUUACUUCAUGCCAUGCAGAAAAACACUGUUCAGCCAUUACGCUAGAGCAAAGCCGGCACUUGCGGAUAGCCACGACCAGCAGUGAUCAAAGAUUCGACACUCACUGGCAGACCCAGAUCCUGGCAGUGCCACUUCAACCUGUACACGCCAGCGACACGUGGCCCGCACACGGCGCCCAGUCCUGCUCUUGUCCCACGGUUUCCAAUGCCCAGCGCGGGCCUGCUGCUAUCAGCGGUGCUGCUGGCGCUUAGCGCCGCCACCUGCCAAGUAGAGGGCUUAGGGCGGCGCAAAUUGCAGUCAGCCCCGAGCGCCGCCACCCCUAGCAGCAUUAAGUCACCGCCUUCUCCGCCGCGCCCGCCAGCACCCCCGCCAAAGCCGCCGUCGCCAGCGCGGAGUCCACCCAGCCCCCGGCCGCCCUCGCCAGCCCCGCCCUCUCCGCCUUCUCCACCCCGCCCGCCCACGCCACCCGGCUCCCCGCCCUUCAAUGGCACGAUGGAUGACGGUGGUGAGUCCUUGUGGAGGCAUGGGGUGUUGCCCGGCGCCGACGGUUCUUGGUGAGCAAUAGGAAGCGGUAAUGGUUGCGUGCACACCGGCUGGGUGCUAGUGACCGGGGGCCGAAGCCGGGGGCUAAUUGGGAUUUUAGCACGCACACCAUUUGAUGCGUUUGCUGGGAGCGGUCUCAUAUGCACGCGCCACAUGCCGGCACGGCCCACGGCACUGCCCGCCUGCUGCAGGCGCCGGCCCCGCUGACGGCAACCCCAACAGCCCGGGUGACGGCAACGUCAAGCUGCCGUCUGUACCCAGCGACCAGCCGGAGCUGUACGGCGAGUGGAUGCUGGUGAGCCUGUUGGGGGCAGCAGCGGUGUGUGGCCGCCGUGUCGGGCUGGGGGACUUGCAGGACCUCGGGCUGGGGGUAUGAGGCUGAGGCCGCAAGGGGGGUACUGCACAGCUGGGGUCUGCACGGCCGUGCUGCAGCCAACAAGCAAGGUGCACAGACUGAGAACAUACUGGAGGUCUAAACUCUAGCGCAUGAAUGAUGGGCGUCUCCCUUUGUCCCAGCUCCAACCCUGCCUACCUCCGCCAUUAUCGUGCACGCCAUCCAUGCUGCAGAAAGCCGUCGGCAACAUUGUGGCCGUGCACAUGUGCAUGGUGCCCGGCACUGAGAAGUUCUUUUUCAUGGAGCGCCCCUCCGGCCGACACCCAGACGGAAAGAACAACAUUGUCGGUUACUACGAUUACCAGACCAACAAGUUCUUCAACGUCAAUUACACGGACUCCGUUUUCUGCGCCGGGCACACCGUGACUCAGGACGGACACGUGCUUGUGGUGGGCGGUCACAUCGCCAAGUCGGGUUACGGUGACGGCUUGAAGGCGGUCCGUGUGUUCUCACGCAAGACCCUGUCCUUCCACCGCAUUGCCAACAUGACCUACCCCCGCUGGUACCCCACCGCGACGCUGCUGCCUUCUGGUAUGGUCACGAUCAUGGGCGGCACUGUCCUGCCGGGAGCGGGCACAGGCAAGAAUCCCAUCUACGAAAUCUGGGAUCCCGCCAACCCCACGCAGCUCAUGCGUCGCAACCAAUCAAUCGGCAUGGUUGCUAAGACAAAUGACAUCUACUAUCCCAACACCUACGUGCUCCCCACCGGCCACCUUCUUAUGUAUUGCAAUCGUUACGGCGAGAUUAUGGAUCCCAUGGCCGCUAAGGUCAUCACUGCGAUGCCUAGUUGGAUGGCAGUUGCCAAGGGCGUCUU